rnacentral:rRNA from 1 species
AUUGAACGCUGGCGGAAUGCUUUACACAUGCAAGUCGAACGGUAACAGGGAGCUUGCUCCGCUGACGAGUGGCGAACGGGUGAGUAAUGCAUCGGAACGUACCCAGUCGUGGGGGGAUAACGUAGCGAAAGUUACGCUAAUACCGCAUACGUCCUGAGGGAGAAAGCGGGGGACCGUAAGGCCUCGCGCGAUUGGAGCGGCCGAUGUCGGAUUAGCUAGUUGGUAGGGUAAAGGCCUACCAAGGCGACGAUCCGUAGCGGGUCUGAGAGGAUGAUCCGCCACACUGGGACUGAGACACGGCCCAGACUCCUACGGGAGGCAGCAGUGGGGAAUUUUGGACAAUGGGCGCAAGCCUGAUCCAGCCAUGCCGCGUGAGUGAAGAAGGCCU